GGAAGAUGUUAGCCCAAUUGGAAAGGUUGAUGGCUCUCUCAUGCUGCGCGUCCUCGUGAUGAUCAUGCUCUUCAUCGAUGGCACUGCAGGGUGAUCCAAGGGAGUCCACUUCCUCAAAGGACCUCAAGAUAAUAUUGUCAAGCCACAAUUGGAAUGGAAACCCGUGCUUGCGUAUGGUCUGCUGCCCCCCUCAAGACAAAAACAAGGCCAUCGACGACCGUUAUAAACUAGCUACGUUCUUCUCUAUCCCUAGGUGUGUGGAAAUGUUGUUUAGGAUGGGAUGGAUAUAAAUAAGCAUACUGAAUGUAGAUGCUGCUGGCUUGCACAAAAACUAGGAAUAUAAAACUUUACAGCAAAGCACAAAAAAAAAACAAAAAGAGAGAA